UAUAGCCGCGGGUCAAAACCGCGGCUUCAGGGUUUGUAUCAGCCUAAGCCUAAAAAUUGAAAACCCAUUCUCUCAACCCGAUCUGAUAUCAGACUAAAAACACUUUUCCACCCAAUCUCUCAACCCGAUCUUAACCCUCUCCCUCCAUCUCCAAUCGAUCACAUCUUGACCAUGUCCGCAGCACCAAGUCUCUGAUCUGCGCUCUCAACCUCGUCUCUCGCAACCUCCCUCUCCCUGCUGACCUCUACGACGCCGUUUCAUCCAUCUGUUCCUCCCUCGAACACGCCGACGCCGUUGAGGCCCGAAACGGCGUCGUCGGCGGUGCUGCUGCUGCUGCUGAAUCCGGAUCCGUUGCGAGCAAGGUUUUGAGUCUACCGAUGCAAGUUUGACCCAUUACAUGGUGGAGAGAUGACUCAACUUGAAUAUUACAAUUUUCUGAAGCCGGAAGAGAGUUCAUAAAUCAAGGUGGACAUAUAGUUUUCUAUUUUGGAUGGUCACUACUGUUUUUUUUAAUAGGUAAGAAAAAACUUAUUAAAAAAAGAGUACUUCAUGUAUAAAGGAACGAAGAAACCUAGAGAAUUGGUGAUCAUUGCUGUUAAUAAUUUUUCAUAUAUAUGUUUAGGGUAGAGCACUGAAUAGUGAAAAUGUUGUAAAUACACGAGAAAAUGAAGAAAGCUUAGGUCUUUUAACUGGGAAUUUAUGUGCAUUGAUGGAAA